CACUGUCAUACGGAAGCAAAGCUUUCUCUGUGUGUGAGCACACGGGUUUCGUGACAUCUCUUGAAUGUUUUAAAUUUGACAGAAUGACAGGUAUGGAGACUGAAACUGCAAGAGACGAAGCCAUGGAGGAAGAAAGCACUGAACAGAAAAAGGAGAGAGAGAAAAAGAAGAGGUCAAGGGUUAAACAGGUGCUCGCAGAUAUAGCGAAACAAGUGGAUUUCUGGUUUGGUGAUGUUAAUCUCCACAAAGAUAGAUUUCUCCGAGAACAAAUAGAAAAGUCCAGAGAUGGGUAUGUUGACAUAUCACUUCUUGUUUCUUUCAACAAAAUGAAAAAGUUGACUACUGAUGGAAAAUUGAUAGCUCGAGCAGUUAAAAGUUCAUCUGUUGUAGAGUUGGAUUUAGAAGGAACUAGAAUUAGAAGGCGCCAACCACUGGGUGAAGAACCAAAGGAUGUGGAUAGUCGUACAGUCUAUGUGGAGCUGCUUCCCAAAAAUGUCAAUCACAGUUGGAUUGAGCGGGUGUUUGGGAAGUGUGGUAAUGUAGUUUACAUCAGUAUACCCCGAUAUAAAACUACUGGUGAUCCAAAGGGAUUUGCCUUUGUUGAAUUUGAAACUAAAGAGCAAGCAGAGAAAGCUAUUGAGUUUUUGAAUAAUCCUCCAGAAGAAGCGCCACGGAAACCUGGGAUUUUCCCCAAAACAGUAAAGAAUAAGCCUGUUCCUGCGCUGAAUACAAGUAACAGCAGUGUAGUAGAAGAGAAGAAAAAGAAGAAAAAAAAGAAAUCCAAAAUCAAGAAAGAGAGCCAUGUACAGGCAGCUGUAGAGACAAAGGAACCAAACAUGAACACUACAACAGAGCAAGUACCCAAGUCAAAAAGACAUAGGACUUCAUCGGAGUGUUCAGAAAUGGAGGGAACUGAGACUCACAGGCAUCCCUCAAAGAGAGAGAAAAGAAAAUGGGACAGAACAGAAAGCUCAGAGGUACCUUGGGAAAGCAGGCCAGGGAAGAGAAAAAGAACGAGCUCUGGAGAUGGUGAGGCAUCAACUCCAAAAGUAAAGAAAAGUGUUCAAAAGGAUGACAUUCAUCCUGUAAAAGAGGAAACAACAGAAGCUCCGAAGGAUUCCAAUGACAUUUCUGCAGAAGAUGACAAAGAUAAAAAAGACACAUCCCUUUCAAAAUCUAAAAGGAAACAUAAGAAAAAACACAAAGAAAGACACAAAAUGGGGGAAGAAGUCAUUCCACUCAGAGUACUCUCCAAGACUGAAUGGAUGGAUUUGAAGCAAGAAUAUUUGGCCCUUCAAAAAGCCAGUAUGGCCUCCUUAAAGAAAACAAUGUCUCAAAUCAGAUCUGAGCCCGUGGGAGAGAUGGAAACUGAAUCUCGUGUGCAGAAAAAGCCUCAAUCUGAAAAUGACAAAUCCACCAGUGAAGAUUCUGCCCCUCCUGCCAAGGCUAACACAAUGGGGCCCCAGUUCGUGACUGGAGUAAUUGUGAAGAUCAUUAGCACUGAGCCCCUGCCGGGCAGGAAGCAGAUCAAGGAUGCUUUGGCAGUGCUGGCGGAUGUUGCUUAUGUUGACAUGCUGCAGGGAGACACAGAAUGUCAUGUCCGUUUUAAAACUCCCGAGGAUGCACAGAUUGUUGUGAAAUCAUACAAAGAAAUACAGAUGAAAAACAACUGGAAAUUCGAAGUUCUCACUGGUGAUCAUGAACAACGUUACUGGCAGAAGAUUUUAGUGGACAGACAAGCUAAACUUAACCAGCCUCGAGAAAAGAAGCGGGGUACUGAGAAGUUGAUUGCUAAAGCUGAAAGAAUGAGACUUGAAAAGACUCAACAAACAAGUAAACAUAUUCGCUUCACUGAAGAUAACUAACCAAGACUGAAUGUGAUCUUCAAAGUGAACUAGGUGUUUAACAAAAAACCAAACCCCACAAACACCACUGCUUACAGCAACUAAACCGUUUUUAAGGCGGCAUCAAAACCUGGUCUGUUGGAUUCAUAAUUCUGCAGACUGCAAUUAUGAAGAUUGUUCUGAAUCCCAUUUCUAAAUAGGCUGAAUGUUUACUGCUUCUGAGCCUCUAGAAGAAUCUUCGGGGGAAGAAAUAAGAAAACCUUUGUUUGUUACAUCUGGUAACUCUAGCUCCAGAAGUAAUUCUCACUUACAGACAUGACAGUUAAUAUCUGCUGCUGUUAUCCCUCCCUAUCAACAUACGCUAAGAAGAGGAGUCCAUCUGUCAAGUUUUACCAUCCCAAGAGUUGCAUCCCUAAAGGUGGAGAUUCAAAUGCCGCAGGCAGCAGCAGCAGCACAUACGGGUUGAACCUGGCAGUGGCAGAAGCAGGAAGGACGAGGGAAUCGGAGCUGCUGACUGGCUGCAGAUGGGAGGGUGGAAUCUCUUCAGGGAUGCUACCAGGAGGUCCCAAUCCAGAUCUGCUCUGCAAAAGAGGUGUGAACAUCCUUAAGGAGAGAGAGGCGACCUGGAAUUCGCAGCUGUGAGGUGCUGAGCGCUCGGAGCUGCUGCCGGCCUCUCGCACCGGCCAGGACAGACCCUUCUGCAGGGGCCUGCACACAUGGCUGCAGGUCACAGAGAAGCUGAAUAACGUUCUUGGCCUCAGCAAGCUGACUCGGCUGUGUGACUGCAGUAUCUUUUGGAAAUGUCUUGUGUCUGCUGUGGAAAAGGCAGGGAGUAAUUUUGUGAGAAUGUAAGGAUGUUAUUUUUCACUGACAUCGCUGUGCUGUCAAUGCUCACAGAAUAGCUUGCUGGGAUCUCUUGGACUGAAUGGAAAUGUCAAAUGUGUUGCUAUGGCCAAAUACAAACAGAUAUUUCCAAACUAAUAUGGCUAUUAAAUAAUUGCAUGUGAGAUAAUAGCAAUCGAAGAAGCACACAUGACAAAAAUCUAGUAAGACCAAAAAUCGGUUUGGUCAAAAUUUGAGGGUUUUUUUGUCUGAUUUUAAAUGCCAUGAUUCAAAAAGCCUUUUCAUGCAGCAGAGAAAUCUCUUGCUAUUUUGAGGCUUACCACAGAAAGCUGAUAAGAGAUACAGAAAUACAGGUGCAUCUUCUUAAGU